rnacentral:rRNA from 1 species
UACGGAGGGAGCUAGCGUUGUUCGGAAUUACUGGGCGUAAAGCGCACGUAGGCGGAUUGCUAAGUCAGGGUGAAAUCCUGGAGCUCAACUCCAGAACUGCCUUUGAUACUGGCGAUCUCGAGUCCGGGAGAGGUGAGUGGAACUGCGAGUGUAGAGGUGAAAUUCGUAGAUAUUCGCAAGAACACCAGUGGCGAAGGCGGCUCACUGGCCCGGUACUGACGCUGAGGUGGCGAAAGCGUGGGGAGCAAACAGG